rnacentral:rRNA from 1 species
UAGCCGUAAACGAUACUCGCUAGGUGUCGGCCACGGUGCGACCGUUGUCGGUGCCGUAGGGAAGCCGUGAAGCGAGCCACCUGGGAAGUACGGCCGCAAGGCUGAAACUUAAAGGAGUUGGCGGGGGAGCACAACAACGGGUGGAGCUUGCGGUUUAAUUGGAUUCAACGCCGGAAAUCUUACCGGGACCGACAGCAACAUGAAGGCCAAGCUGAAGACUUUGCCGGAUUAGCUGAGAGGAGGUGCAUGGCGUAGUCGUGU